rnacentral:miRNA from 1 species
UGUGGGUUAAAUCAUCUAGAUU